ACGGAGGGUGCAAGCGUUGUUCGGAAUUACUGGGCGUAAAGGGCGCGUAGGCGGUCCGCUAAGUUCGGCGUGAAAGCCCCUGGCUCAACUGGGGAACGGCGCUGGAUACCGGUGGACUCGAGUACCGGAGAGGAGGGUGGAAUUCCUGGUGUAGCGGUGAAAUGCGUAGAUAUCAGGAGGAACACCGGUGGCGAAGGCGGCCACCUGGACGACUACUGACGCUGAGACGCGAAAGCGUGGGGAGCAAACAGGA
rnacentral:rRNA from 1 species